rnacentral:rRNA from 1 species
AUUGAACGCUGGCGGCAGGCUUAACACAUGCAAGUCGAGCGGAGAUGAGGUGCUUGCACCUUAUCUUAGCGGCGGACGGGUGAGUAAUGCUUAGGAAUCUGCCUAUUAGUGGGGGACAACAUUCCGAAAGGAAUGCUAAUACCGCAUACGUCCUACGGGAGAAAGCAGGGGAUCUUCGGACCUUGCGCUAAUAGAGGAGCCUAAGUCGGAUUAGCUAGUUGGUGGGGUAAAGGCCUACCAAGGCGACGAUCUGUAGCGGGUCUGAGCGGAUGAUCCGCCACACUGGGACUGAGACACGGCCCAGACUCCUACGGGAGGCAGCAGUGGGGAAUAUUGGGCAAUGGGGGGAACCCUGAUCCAGCCAUGCCGCGUGUGUGAAGAAGGCCUUAUGGUUGUAAAGCACUUUAAGCGAGGAGGAGGCUACUGAGACUAAUACUCUUGGAUAGUGGACGUUACUCGCAGAAUAAGCACCGGCUAACUUUGUCCCAGCCGCCGCGGUAAAAC